CACCAGAGCCACGAGUGGCAAUCGCAUUUAUUGGGCCUAAAGCGUCCGUAGCUGGUUUGUUAAAUUUCCUGUGAAAUUGUUGAGCUUAACUCAACAGCGUGCAAGAAAAACUGGCAGACUUGAGACCGGGAGGAGACAAGAGUAUUCCAGGGGGAGCGGUAAAAUGCUAUAAUCCCUGGAGGACUACCUGUGGCGAAGGCGCUUGUCUAGAACGGGUCUGACAGUGAGGGACGAAAGCUAAGGUAGCGAUCGGGAUUAGAUACCCUCGUA
rnacentral:rRNA from 1 species